GCGAACGCUGGCGGCGUGCUUAACACCUGCAAGUCGAACGGAAAGGCCCUGCUUUUGUGGGGUGCUCGAGUGGCGAACGGGUGAGUAACACGUGAGUAACCUGCCCUUGACUUUGGGAUAACUUCAGGAAACUGGGGCUAAUACCGGAUAGGAGCUCCUGCUGCAUGGUGGGGGUUGGAAAGUUUCGGCGGUUGGGGAUGGACUCGCGGCUUAUCAGCUUGUUGGUGGGGUAGUGGCUUACCAAGGCUUUGACGGGUAGCCGGCCUGAGAGGGUGACCGGCCACAUUGGGACUGAGAUACGGCCCAGACUCCUACGGGAGGCAGAAGUGGGGAAUAUUGCACAAUGGGCGGAAGCCUGAUGCAGCAACGCCGCGUGCGGGAUGACGGCCUUCGGGUUGUAAACCGCUUUCGCCUGUGACGAAGCGUGAGUGACGGUAAUGGGUAAAGAAGCACCGGCUAACUACGUG
rnacentral:rRNA from 1 species